rnacentral:rRNA from 1 species
CCUACGGGAGGCAGCAGUGGGGAAUAUUGGACAAUGGGCGAAAGCCUGAUCCAGCCAUGCCGCGUGUGUGAAGAAGGCCUUCGGGUUGUAAAGCACUUUCAGUGGGGGAAAAAGCCUUGGGGCUAAUACCCUCGAGGAAGGACAUCACCCACAGAAGAAGCACCGGCUAACUCCGUGCCAGCAGCCGCGGUAAUACGGAGGGUGCGAGCGUUAAUCGGAAUUACUGGGCGGAAAGCGCGCGUAGGCGGUCUGAUAAGCCGGUUGUGAAAGCCCCGGGCUCAACCUGGGAACGGCAUCCGGAACUGUCAGGCUAGAGUGCAGGAGAGGAAGGUAGAAUUCCCGGUGUAGCGGUGAAAUGCGUAGAGAUCGGGAGGAAUACCAGUGGCGAAGGCGGCCUUCUGGACUGACACUGACGCUGAGGUGCGAAAGCGUGGAUAGCAAACAGGAUUAGAUACCCUAGUAGUC